ensembl:misc_RNA Metazoa_SRP Metazoan signal recognition particle RNA
GCCAGGCACAGUGGCUUGCACCUAUAAUCUCAGCUACUUGGGAGGCUGAGGCAGGAGGCUCACUUGGGCCCAGGAGUUUGAGGCUACAGUGAGCUAUGAUUAUGAUUGUGCCACUGCACUCCAGCCUGGGCAACAUAGUGAGACCCUGUCUCUA